UCGUAGUUGAAUUGUGGAGUAUGGCCACGGGAUUCAGUCCNUUUCCCACGGUCUAGGAACGUCCCGACCAUACUCCGAGAACGUCAGAAACUAAGAUCACGGAAGCGUUUUUUACAAACUGCCACCGACUACGCGAGCAAUGUUCGCUGGUGGACGUCCGUGUUUUUUACUGUGACUAAAGAAGUGCGACCAAGGCAGUCCAUCGACAUGAAUUAGGAAGCAUGGGAUAACAAAGCAGCAGCCUAUGAGCUACCGUUUAGGCUUUUGUUGGUUUUAAAGGUUCGUGGGAGAUUACGGGCGUGUAGGACCGGCGUUGGGGGUUUUCCAAAAUCCCCGCGUCUCCUCCUGGCAUCGGAAACGGUGCUUGCGGGGCCCGCUUCGCUCAGGAAUGAAGGAGGGUUGCUCGGGGGAAAACGUACUUGGGCGUGAGAGGUGAAAUUCUUAGACCGCCCAAAGACGAACUACAGCGAAGGCAUUUUCCAAGGAUACCUUCCUCAAUCAAGAACCAAAGUGUGG
rnacentral:rRNA from 1 species